GCUGUUGUGUAAGAAAUGGUUCGGUUGUUCUGAACUAACAAACACUCUUUUUGUUUGUUACGCUCAUGGAUGUAUCUCUGAUCCUUAUUUACCAUACGAUGGGGGGGAGACAACAUUCCACUAAGAGAAUUGCAUAAAAGAGCUGUCUCAUGCAGUAAUAAUGAAGGAUAUUUACAUGAAGUACUACAGUACUGAAUUAUAAGAUGAUACUGAUUGUCCAACACGAAGAUUUUUAUUGGUAACUUUUUUUUUCCUAUGAGCCAGUUUUGCACCAUUUUGACAGUCAGACUUUUUCGAUAUUUCCAAAGUAUCAAGAGUUCUCUUGCCUGCCAGCUUGUCGCAGAUGUGCUCACGGAGUUUGAUGUUUCCAAGUGAUUCUGAAGGGGAAUGUGCAUCUUCACCAUUUACUCAGAUUCCCGAUUUUAAAAACAAGGCAGUGCACAUAAUGGGCCUGAUCACUGAAUCAGUGAAAACUCAGAUUGACUUAAGUAAGCAUUGGAUUCAGGCUCUAUGUGCACAUAACACGUGUGCAGCAACUUAUUUAAAAUGUGUUUUGAAAUUCUCAAAACUGUUUAAGAGAUCCAGCAUUUGACUUUGUGUGACUUACUUGCGUAGCUAUGGUACACCCCUUAAAUAUGGUGUAUGUUAAAAAUGUCUGUCUGUCUUACUGUAAGGUCUCAGAUUUGACCUAUGACGUCAAUAUUUUUUGUAAAUCUAGGGAAACAUUUUUCCAUGAGACAGCACAGUAACUGAUAGCAUUAUUAUUCUAUAUAUUUGAGGCACCCAUCACCAUGAUACCUAAGUAUGUUUUACAUGACUUUAAUUGCAUGGUCAGCAUUCACAUUAAGGAGCAAAACCAACAAAUUCCCCUACUGCAGUGGUUCUCAAACUUUUGUGUUGGUGAUCUCUUUACAUAGCAAGCCUCUGAGUGCAAGCCCCCCCCUCCUUAUAAAUUAAAAACCACUUUUGUGUCUAUUUAACACCCUUAUAAUGCUGGAGACAAAGUGGGGCUUGGGGGGAGACUGACAGUUUGCAACCCUCCAUGUAUAACCUUGCGACCUCCUGAGGGGGUCCAGACCCCCAGUUUUGAGAACCUCUGCCUUAUUGCCUGUAGAUACCGGAUAGAGGAUAUUAUUAUCUAAGAACAACUUGAGUACAAUUCUUCAUACAUAUGUACAAAACCUCAGAAAGAAUAAGAUCUACUUGUGUGUGCUAGGCUCUACCCUUGCAUGGGGGCUCUUGAUUAUAGGCACAUCUAAUGUCUGGUGCGGGGUGGGUGGGUGGAAGCUAGCUACCAACAGAGCUUUAAGGCCACAUUGUGACUUUCCAUAUUCAUGUGUGUAGGAGAUGUGUGCACACACCCAUCCAAAGCUAUAAUUUGUUUCUGGAUGAUUUUAUCUAUAAUGGAAGAAGAGUCAUUAAAAAGAGUUGUUUAGGCUGACCAUGGAUGAAAUGACAAAUUCAGAGCCAGGAUGAGUGGGGAGAGGCUGUGACUGAAGAGGUCUCCAGCAUAACUUAUAGAUCUCGGGGGACUGGUCUGGCUUAGAUUUGAAUUGGUCAGUCUUCUUGGGCUGCCCUCUGGCCCUAACACUAUGUGCUGUGGCCUUGGCCUCUGCUCAACAUGGUCCCCUCCUUUGCCAGAAUCCAAAAUGGGGGGGAGGCUCUUAUGCUAUAAGUUCAUCAAAUUUGACUUUGCCAAUGACAGACUCCAUUAGCCAGAUUUCUUCUAGUAUUUAGUUAUAGUUUAUCUGGAUGCUUUGCCUGUAUGAUUGGUAAUGUUUUAUGUUUAGCGUUUAUAAUAGGUAUUCCCAAACCUCAGAAGGUAUAUCUGGCCUGGACAUGUAGUCAAAUGUCAUGACUGCCAUAGGCCCACUUGUAGAUCUCCUCUGUUGGGUCCUGCCUUUGCCUGCAAGACAGUAAAUAAAUACAUACGUGUAGUAGGCUAUAUGUAUGUGGCAUGUGACACUUUGAAACCCGGUCAUGGUGGUUUUCCCCAUUGCUGACAUUUAAACAUUUAUUUUAUGUGUGUUCUAAAAGAUAUGCUGUAGGAAUUAUUCUGGGGAAGUCUAUGGAUGGUGUUACAUUGGAGGGAAGAGUAGAUGAUCACACUGGUCCUUUCUGGCCUUGGAAUAUAGGGAAUCUGUGAAAUCUUUUCCAUGCUGUUCACAUCUUUCUUUGUUUCCCCCAAUCCAUAUAAUGCAUUUUGUCUAUGUAGACCAUAAAGUCUUUAAACUGGUGCCCAUAUAUGGCUUCUCAUAUAUGUGUGUGAGGUGCUGAGCACAGUAUGAGAACUAGAUGAUAGUAUUAGUUAUUCCUUCCUAAUCAUGUAUUACCCUUCCGAUAAACAUUUCACCAUGUUUGAAAAAUAAAACAAUUAUUUUUCUGUUGCA